CAGUAGCCACGGGAAAACAGAGGGUGCAAGCGUUAAUCGGAAUUAUUGGGCGUAAAGGGCUUGUAGGUGGUUAUAUAAGUUAGAUGUGAAAACCCUGGGCUCAACCUGGGACGUGCAUUUAAUACUGUAUGACUAGAGUAUGGUAGAGGAAAGGGGAAUUCCUGGUGUAGCAGUGAAAUGCGUAGAGAUCAGGAGGAACAUCGGUGGCGAAGGCGCCUUUCUGGACUAAUACUGACACUGAGGAGCGAAGGCGUGGGGAGCAAACAGGAUUAGAUACCCGCGUAGUCCCUGUCUCUUAUAC
rnacentral:rRNA from 1 species